rfam:Toxocara canis scaffold1182, whole genome shotgun sequence.
UGGGCAGUAGCUCAGUGGUAGAGCUCUCGAUUCGCAGGCCAGAAGAUCUCGGUUUGAUUCCCGGCUGCGUAC